AUCCAUAUCACUUUUUAGCACCAGUUCUUAUACGCUCCCAGAAGUUAAGCAACGUCGAGGUGGGUUAGUACCUUGAUGGGUUACCUCUUGGAAAUACCAGUGCU